GAUUAAGUUAUUAAGGGCGCACGGUGGAUGCCUUGGCACUAGAAGCCGAUGAAGGACGUUACUAACGACGAUAUGCUUUGGGGAGCUGUAAGUAAGCUUUGAUCCAGAGAUUUCCGAAUGGGGAAACCCAGCAUGAGUUAUGUCAUGUUAUCGAUAUGUGAAUACAUAGCAUAUCAGAAGGCACACCCGGAGAACUGAAACAUCUUAGUACCCGGAGGAAGAGAAAGAAAAUUCGAUUCCCUUAGUAGCGGCGAGCGAAACGGGAAGAGCCCAAACCAACAAGCUUGCUUGUUGGGGUUGUAGGACACUCUAUACGGAGUUACAAAGGACGACAUUAGACGAAUCAUCUGGAAAGAUGAAUCAAAGAAGGUAAUAAUCCUGUAGUCGAAAAUGUUGUCUCUCUUGAGUGGAUCCUGAGUACGACGGAGCACGUGAAAUUCCGUCGGAAUCUGGGAGGACCAUCUCCUAAGGCUAAAUACUCUCUAGUGACCGAUAGCGAACCAGUACCGUGAGGGAAAGGUGAAAAGCACCCCGGAAGGGGAGUGAAAUAGAACCUGAAACCGUGUGCUUACAAGUAGUCAGAGCCCGUUAAUGGGUGAUGGCGUGCCUUUUGUAGAAUGAACCGGCGAGUUACGAUUUGAUGCAAGGUUAAGCAGUAAAUGUGGAGCCGUAGCGAAAGCGAGUCUGAAUAGGGCGUUUAGUAUUUGGUCGUAGACCCGAAACCAGGUGAUCUACCCUUGGUCAGGUUGAAGUUCAGGUAACACUGAAUGGAGGACCGAACCGACUUACGUUGAAAAGUGAGCGGAUGAACUGAGGGUAGCGGAGAAAUUCCAAUCGAACCUGGAGAUAGCUGGUUCUCUCCGAAAUAGCUUUAGGGCUAGCCUCAAGUGAUGAUUAUUGGAGGUAGAGCACUGUUUGGACGAGGGGCCCCUCUCGGGUUACCGAAUUCAGACAAACUCCGAAUGCCAAUUAAUUUAACUUGGGAGUCAGAACAUGGGUGAUAAGGUCCGUGUUCGAAAGGGAAACAGCCCAGACCACCAGCUAAGGUCCCAAAAUAUAUGUUAAGUGGAAAAGGAUGUGGCGUUGCCCAGACAACUAGGAUGUUGGCUUAGAAGCAGCCAUCAUUUAAAGAGUGCGUAAUAGCUCACUAGUCGAGUGACACUGCGCCGAAAAUGUACCGGGGCUAAACAUAUUACCGAAGCUGUGGAUUGUCCUUUGGACAAUGGUAGGAGAGCGUUCUAAGGGCGUUGAAGCAUGAUCGUAAGGACAUGUGGAGCGCUUAGAAGUGAGAAUGCCGGUGUGAGUAGCGAAAGACGGGUGAGAAUCCCGUCCACCGAUUGACUAAGGUUUCCAGAGGAAGGCUCGUCCGCUCUGGGUUAGUCGGGUCCUAAGCUGAGGCCGACAGGCGUAGGCGAUGGAUAACAGGUUGAUAUUCCUGUACCACCUAUAAUCGUUUUAAUCGAUGGGGGGACGCAGUAGGAUAGGCGAAGCGUGCGAUUGGAUUGCACGUCUAAGCAGUAAGGCUGAGUAUUAGGCAAAUCCGGUACUCAUUAAGGCUGAGCUGUGAUGGGGAGAAGACAUUGUGUCUUCGAGUCGUUGAUUUCACACUGCCGAGAAAAGCCUCUAGAUAGAAAAUAGGUGCCCGUACCGCAAACCGACACAGGUAGUCAAGAUGAGAAUUCUAAGGUGAGCGAGCGAACUCUCGUUAAGGAACUCGGCAAAAUGACCCCGUAACUUCGGGAGAAGGGGUGCUCUUUAGGGUUAACGCCCAGAAGAGCCGCAGUGAAUAGGCCCAAGCGACUGUUUAUCAAAAACACAGGUCUCUGCUAAACCGUAAGGUGAUGUAUAGGGGCUGACGCCUGCCCGGUGCUGGAAGGUUAAGAGGAGUGGUUAGCUUCUGCGAAGCUACGAAUCGAAGCCCCAGUAAACGGCGGCCGUAACUAUAACGGUCCUAAGGUAGCGAAAUUCCUUGUCGGGUAAGUUCCGACCCGCACGAAAGGCGUAACGAUUUGGGCACUGUCUCAACGAGAGACUCGGUGAAAUCAUAGUACCUGUGAAGAUGCAGGUUACCCGCGACAGGACGGAAAGACCCCGUGGAGCUUUACUGUAGCCUGAUAUUGAAAUUCGGCACAGCUUGUACAGGAUAGGUAGGAGCCUUUGAAACGUGAGCGCUAGCUUACGUGGAGGCGCUGGUGGGAUACUACCCUAGCUGUGUUGGCUUUCUAACCCGCACCACUUAUCGUGGUGGGAGACAGUGUCAGGCGGGCAGUUUGACUGGGGCGGUCGCCUCCUAAAAGGUAACGGAGGCGCUCAAAGGUUCCCUCAGAAUGGUUGGAAAUCAUUCAUAGAGUGUAAAGGCAUAAGGGAGCUUGACUGCGAGACCUACAAGUCGAGCAGGGUCGAAAGACGGACUUAGUGAUCCGGUGGUUCCGCAUGGAAGGGCCAUCGCUCAACGGAUAAAAGCUACCCCGGGGAUAACAGGCUUAUCUCCCCCAAGAGUUCACAUCGACGGGGAGGUUUGGCACCUCGAUGUCGGCUCAUCGCAUCCUGGGGCUGUAGUCGGUCCCAAGGGUUGGGCUGUUCGCCCAUUAAAGCGGUACGCGAGCUGGGUUCAGAACGUCGUGAGACAGUUCGGUCCCUAUCCGUCGUGGGCGUAGGAAAUUUGAGAGGAGCUGUCCUUAGUACGAGAGGACCGGGAUGGACAUACCUCUGGUGUACCAGUUGUCGUGCCAACGGCAUAGCUGGGUAGCUAUGUGUGGACGGGAUAAGUGCUGAAAGCAUCUAAGCAUGAAGCCCCCCUCAAGAUGAGAUUUCCCAACUUCGGUUAUAAGAUCCCUCAAAGAUGAUGAGGUUAAUAGGUUCGAGGUGGAAGCAUGGUGACAUGUGGAGCUGACGAAUACUAAUCGAUCGAAGACUUAAUCAA
rnacentral:rRNA from 2 species